GAACGGGACUAUUUUAGAGUUUACUUUGAGAUGGUUUAGUGGCGGACGGGGGAGUAACACGUGAGCAACCUGCCUUUCAGAGGGGGAUAACAGUUGGAAACGACUGCUAAUACCGCAUAACGUUGUAAAAGGGCAUCCAUUUACAACCAAAAGAGAAAUCUGCUGAAAGAUGGGCUCGCGGCCGAUUAGAUAGUAGGCGGGGUAACGGCCCACCUAGUCAACGAUCGGUAGCCGGACUGAGAGGUUGAACGGCCACAUUGGGACUGAGACACGGCCCAGACUCCUACGGGAGGCAGCAGUGGGGGAUAUUGCACAAUGGGCGAAAGCCUGAUGCAGCGACGCCGCGUGAGGGAAGACGGUCUUCGGAUUGUAAACCUCUGUCUUUGGGGAAGAAAUCAGACGGUACCCAAAGAGGAAGCUCCGGCUAACUACGUGCCAGCAGCCGCGGUAAUACGUAGGGAGCGAGCGUUGUCCGGAAU
rnacentral:rRNA from 1 species